rnacentral:rRNA from 1 species
AGUGAACGCUGGCGGUAGGCCUAACACAUGCAAGUCGAACGGCAGCACAGUAAGAGCUUGCUCUUACGGGUGGCGAGUGGCGGACGGGUGAGGAAUACAUCGGAAUCUACUUUUUCGUGGGGGAUAACGUAGGGAAACUUGCGCUAAUACCGCAUACGACCUACGGGUGAAAGCAGGGGAUCUUCGGACCUUGCGCGAUUGAAUGAGCCGAUGUCGGAUUAGCUAGUUGGCGGGGUAAAGGCCCACCAAGGCGACGAUCCGUAGCUGGUCUGAGAGGAUGAUCAGCCACACUGGAACUGAGACACGGUCCAGACUCCUACGGGAGGCAGCAGUGGGGAAUAUUGGACAGUGGGCGCAAGCCUGAUCCAGCCAUACCGCGUGGGUGAAGAAGGCCUUCGGGUUGUAAAGCCCUUUUGUUGGGAAAGAAAAGCAGCAGGUUAAUACCCCGCUGUUCUGACGGUACCCAAAGAAUAAGCACCGGCUAACUUCGU